rnacentral:rRNA from 1 species
UACGGGGGGGGCAAGCGUUGUUCGGAAUUACUGGGCGUAAAGGGCUCGUAGGCGGCCAACUAAGUCAGACGUGAAAUCCCUCGGCUUAACCGGGGAACUGCGUCUGAUACUGGAUGGCUUGAGUUCGGGAGAGGGAUGCGGAAUUCCAGGUGUAGCGGUGAAAUGCGUAGAUAUCUGGAGGAAUACCGGUGGCGAAGGCGGCAUCCUGGACCGAGAUUGACACUGAGGAGCGAAAGCCAGGGGAGCAAACGGG